UUCAAAAUAUCUUAAAUUUGCAUAAAAUUGGUAAUCUCUAAUACAAAGUUCAAAACAACACAAACAAAAUUUUCAGAAAAUUGAUAAUAUCUAAUAGGUCAAUAUUAGGUCAAACUUUUUGUUUCCACCACAAAAGUAGGUCAAAAUUAUCAUCUUCAUCUAUGUGUUCUUCAUCCAAGUACUUCUCCAGCUCGUUUUUGUUACCAAUUGAAUUUAUUUCUUUCAAGUAACUCUUAAAANN
rnacentral:lncRNA from 1 species